rnacentral:rRNA from 1 species
CCUACGGGAGACAGCAGUGAGGAAUAUUGGUCAAUGGCCGGAAGGCUGAACCAGCCAUGCCGCGUGAAGGUCAGUGCCCUAUGGGCGUUAAACUUCUUUUGUGCGGGAGCAAUAAUGGUCACGUGUGGCCAGACGAGAGUACCGUACGAAUAAGCAUCGGCUAACUCCGUCCCAGCAGCCGCGGUAAUACGGGGGAUGCAAGCGUUAUCCGGAUUUAUUGGGUUUAAGGGUGGGGUAGCCUGUGAGGUAAGUCAGCGGGGAAAUGCCCCCGCUCAACGGGGUGAAGUGCCAUUGAUACUGCCUUGCUGGAAUGCGGAUGCCGUGGGAGGAAUGUGUGGUGUAGCGGUGAAAUGCAUAGAUAUCACACAGAACACCGAUUGCGAAGGCAUCUCACGAAUCCGCGAUUGACGCUGAUGCACGAAAGCGUGGGUAUCAAACAGGAUUAGAUACCCGUGUAGUC